rnacentral:rRNA from 1 species
UACGUAGGGCGCAACGUUGUCCGGAAUUAUUGGGCGUAAAGAGCUCGUAGGCGGUUUGUCGCGUCUGCUGUGAAAACCUGAGGCUCAACCUCGGGCUUGCAGUGGGUACGGGCAGACUAGAGUGCGGUAGGGGUGACUGGAAUUCCUGGUGUAGCGGUGGAAUGCGCAGAUAUCAGGAGGAACACCGAUGGCGAAGGCAGGUCA